CGGUUAUACGAGAGGCCCCAGUUAAUAAUAUUGCGGCGUAAAGGGUGGUUAAGGAGCAUAAUAAAAUAAAGCCGAACAGCCCCCCGGCCGUCAUACGCUUCCGGGUGCUGGAAGUCCAACCCCACGAAAGUGGCUUUAACAAAAUUUGCCUGACCCCACGAAAGCUGAGAAACAAACUGGGAUUAGAUACCCCACUAUGCUCAGCCAUAAACCCAGACAUACACGUACGAUUUCAUGUCCGCCAGGGUACUACGAGCAUCAGCUUAAAACCCAAGGGACCUGACGGUGCCUCAGACCCCCCUAGAGGAGCCUGUUCUAGAACCGAUAACCCCCGUUAAACCUCACCACUUCUAGUCAUCCCAGCCUAUAUACCGCCGUCGCCAGCUUACCCUGUGAAGGUAAAAAGAGUAAGCAGAAUGGGCACAACCCAGAACGUCAGGUCGAGGUGUAGCGCACGAGGUGGGAAGAAAUGGGCUACAUUUUCUAUUAUAGAACACUACGAAUAUGCAACAUGAAAUAGUGCUUGAAGGAGGAUUUAGUAGUAAAAAGGAAGAAGAGUGUCCUUUUGAACCCGGCUCUGAGACGCGUACACACCGCCCGUCACUCUCCCCUGUCAAAAUGCAAUAAAAGUACCUAAACCUAGUGCGCCGACAAGGGGAGGCAAGUCGUAACAUGGUAAGUGUACCGGAAGGUGCACUUGG
rnacentral:rRNA from 1 species